GUUUUUGUGGUGUAGUGGUCAGCACGCUCGACGCGUAUUCGAGAGGCCCAUGGUUCGAGUCCAGGUGAGAGCA
rnacentral:tRNA from 1 species